rnacentral:lncRNA from 1 species
GCCAGGAUCUGACCGUCCUCUCUGGCAGGUUGGAGAAUGAUAAGGGGGCGGGCCGGAGAGCGGGCGAGCGGGCGGGCGGUGUUAGGAGCUGUCGUGUGAUUGGUCGGGAGUGACGUAUCCGGAGCCACUUCCUGGUCGCUCCGCUCUCCGGGAGGAGGAGAGUGCAAAUGCGGUGUUGUUAGUUUGAACAAAAUGGCUGCGAGACCACUGUCAACGAGAGCUCACUGAACGCCUAUCAUGACUGUCCGCUCCGCCGUCUGGAUUCACAUAGAAUAAAACGCAUUUUGGAGAAUGUUUUUUCUACGUGUUUUUGCUGCCAUGCACCGACUCCUCACCGAGAGCUGCCAAAGCUGCACUUAACGCCAGCUGAAAGAAGCUAGCGACAGAAAAACGAGAACCAUUUGAUGGAAGAAAAGAAAAAGAAAAAACAAGAAGAAAAGACCAAGACGGACAUUGCUCAGAAAAAGGCUGCUGAUCAACAACCCAAAGGUGAGCAACACAAUCAAACGUACUGAACGCACUCAUCUACCUCUUUUUUCGACUCCCUCCCAACCCCUGAUUAUACAUUAAUAAGCGCUGAUUAACACGCAGCGACCCAGAAAAGCAUAUCCUCAUAUAUACGACGAUUGUGCACAUUGCACCAAGUGUGGCAUAUUGUGCCCAGAUGGACAGGCGUAGUUUUCACCUGUAUGCACAAUGAUGCCAUUUCAUUCCAUGUCGCUGGCUUGCACAUAUACAGAACAGUGAAUACAGUAGAGUCUAAUGCAAAGUGAUGUGAAGUGACACUCGGUGCGCCCUCAGCACCAGCCAGUGAAGCGUGACGACAUUCAGACAGCAGUGAAGUGUAUGGGGGAGGGUUGGGAUGGGAGAGGUGAAUGGCACAAUGGAAUGGAGUUGUGAGCUGAAAUGAGACAAUGCACUGAAAGAGUGGUGUCCCUGUAUGUCCCUGGUGUUCCCCUGAGAUGUCAAGCUUACUCCAGCUUACUUCAGCUUCCGUAUUGAGCUGCGUUGAACACGUUUAGGUCGUUUUCAAGCAGAAUAGAUUUACAUUUACUGCUUUAUGCUAAAACAAUGCUUAAGCUAAGUAUAUGGGGGUCGACCAGUCUAAAUAGUAGUAGCUAGGUUAUCUGGACUGUUGAACUGAGCAAAAGUCAGCACGGCUUUCCUUGAACUUUAACCUCUCAAUUAAAUUUCCAUGACUGUAGGCUCAUUUUUUUAAAUCAACAGUUUUGAAAGUGUCUUGUGUUUUGUGGUUGUUGCUUGAUUGAUUGUGGCUUUAUUUUAAAGACAUGAUUGUUUAGCCCACGUUUCAUUCAUAGAUAUUCACUGUUGUUCCGAUCGCCCGUGUUGUGUUUUGGUUUGUGACUUAAACCCUGACUGAUGAGCUGACAGCCAGGCAAUUAUACGUUUUGUCAAAAAGUUGGCUCAUACAAACUUAAAUCUUUGAUUUUUGCUUUAAGAGACUGUGGAAAGUGGAUAUAUAGUUUAUAUAGAGUGACUCAAUGUUUUAGCUGUCAGUUCUGAGUAUACGUUUGUCUCUGGGCUUUACUAAAUUAACUUACAGGCAAUGCCAAAGAAAUAUGAAAUAGACUGAAGCCGUGUAUAAAAGGAACAAGUAAAGUUGGAGACGGCUCCAGGGAAGGAAGGAAUGAGAGUACUGAAGCAGUGGUUAGUGGCCAAAAAUGACCUUCAGGAGUCUGUGACACUGUUACUAUAGGAAAGGACGCAGCCAUUUGAUCCAUGGCAUGUUUAAUGGGAGAUGAAAGAGAAAGGAACAUGAAUUCCAAACGUAUUCUCAUAUAGGCAGUAGGUAUUUAUAUAGAGGAGGGGAAAAGGCCUGUUUGAAUGCUAUUUAUUGAGUGAGCCAGAAGGACCUCAUCUCCUUAAUGGCAUCAAGUGGAAUAAGUUGACUCUUAAUGUGUGACACUAAAUAAUGAUAAUAAAUGUGUUUUUGUGUGUGCGCGGGGAAGGAGAAAAUCAGAAUUGAAAAUGGGUGAAUUUGCUUUCUUAUACACUUUCAGAAAUUCAUAGACACAUACAUAUUUCCCCCCCCCAUCCUUGGUCUCAGGCAUUUCAAUUUGUUUGCAGUAAUCGAUCUCAGCCUUCCACAUCCAUAUGUAUGAAAAUGAGAUAAAGCUUUGGCACAUUGGAAUUA